rnacentral:rRNA from 1 species
CCUGAUCACCCAUAGGAGGUCCAGCCUGCCCAGUGACUAAGUUAAACGGCCGCGGUACCCUAACCGUGCAAAGGUAGCGCAAUCACUUGUUCUUUAAAUGAGGACUAGUAUGAACGGCAUCACGAGGGUUAUGCUGUCUCCCUACUCUACUCAGUGAAACUGAUCUCCCCGUGAAGAAGCGGGGAUAAAGAUAUAAGACGAGAAGACCCCAUGGAGCUUUAAACUCAGUACCAACUGCCCUAAUAAUAACCUAUUACCUUUGCAGCCAUGGUUACUAGUUUUCGGUUGGGGUGACCACGGAGUAAAAUUUAACCUCCACGAUGAAAGGAACUAAUAUCCUAACCUAUGAGCUACAGCUCUAAGUAUCAACAAAUUGACUAAUUGACCCAAUUACUUGAUCAACGAACCA